rnacentral:lncRNA from 1 species
UUUAAUUCAAAAAGGUAAAUAUCGAAUAUUAGUUAUAUAAUAUAUAAUUCCUAGCGACAUGAGAUUGCUAACAACUNUAAUAAUAAUAAUAAUAAUAAUAAUAAUAAUAAUAAUAAAUGGUUAAUUGACCAUUAUCCUAUUUAUUUAAUUCAAAAAGGUAAAUAUCGAAUAUUAGUUAUAUAAUAUAUAAUUCCUAGCGACAUGAGAUUGCUAACAACUUUUGUUAAUUGACAUGUUUGAUCACAUCUAUGUGUCAGGUCUCUUAAACUUAUGUAUCAUUUUUUGUAAAAGAUUGUUGAUCAAAUCAUCCAUUUUGAGAAACAUGUGUAAUCGGUCAAUAACUAGUUAUAGGAAUCGCGAAUUCACAUCGGCCAUCAAAAGAUAAAUACAAGUGAUUAGGUAUCAUUUAUCCCACAAACAUUAUACAAGUGAGAUGCGAGCAUUUUCAAAAUAGACGACAUAGACUUGCAUUUUAAAAUGGGUAUUUAUAUGUUUUAUAAUUUUAGUUUAAAAACAUAUGAUAUCAUUGGUAUUACAUAUAUUAAUAUACCAUGGUAACUUUUUAUAAAAUCACAUUUUAC